rnacentral:lncRNA from 11 species
UGUAGUAAAUCAAUAUUAAUGACUCUUUGUUUUGAUUUUUUAGAUUGGAGAAAGGUUUAAGGAUCCGGAUAAUCCAUGUCUCGAUUACACCUGUACCAGAGAAGGCUUUGAAACCAAAGUUGAAGAAUGUGUUGGGCAGAAAUGGUGUAAAAAGGCAGACAGACUGUAUAAAGAAAACAAAUGCUGCUAUAACUGUGUGAAUGAAUGUAGACCAAUUCAGAAGGCAAUGAGAAUUUCAGCCAAGGGUUGUUCAACUACCAUCAUGAUGGCAGUAUGUUCUGGCGAUUGUCCAGUAUCACUCAUGUAAGUUGAUUUAGAGAUGUUUUGUGGAGGAUGGGAGUUCUGCUCCAAUUUGUCUAACAGACCUCAGGUUUUGACAGAGCCCAGAAGUAACAAAUCAGGAUUAAAUGGUAGCUAGAAUCCAGUUGCCAGCAUAAGGCUUGGUUACGCUGGUGUGCACAUGUUGAAUUAAGUUGCACAAGGAACAUGUGUAUCUCCUGGGCAUCGUUGUCAUUCCCUGCUGCACAGUGUGACUGCGCAUAAGCACCCAGCAAAACAAAGGCAGUUUUGCAUUGAGGAGAAGGCCAUUUCUUCUCCAAGGUCCAUGCAAGAAUAUUCAGAACUCAACUAGCUACAAUGAUAUAAUUAACAGGUCCCUGAAAACACCUGUUGCUAUGCAUCCAGCUGUAGGUUAAUAGUUGGAUGCUUAUCUGCUGCUUCUUUCAUCCUUCACCAACCAGAAAACAGCUGGGAUUGUGAUGAUUUAAACAAGGUUUAAAAGGUGGGUGCACAUGAAAAUAUUGUAAUAUAGCAUUUUUCCUAUGCCAAACCAUGGCUCUCACAUGUAAGG